UGCUUUCUUCAGAUUUAUAUGAAAAUUGGCUUAGUGUCCUUGAUGAAGAAUCUCUGCUUGGAAAAAUUUCUGCUAUACAAAGCCGCUCAUGUGCUGUUGGAUCCGACUUACAGAAGCACAUUAUUUGGAAGGGAGCUCCCAAAAAAGAAAUUAGAUCUAAGUCAUCAUUGUGUUGAAAGACAUCCAGAAGAUUGCUCAUAUACAAUAUUGAGCAUUUGCCAUAGGUGAAAUCAAGCAUCAGAGGCAAGACAGCAGUUCCCUACAGGACUCUGCUCUUCUCCGCUUCUUUGUCCUGAGGACACAUCUGUUUCAGCCAAGGUGGCCCUAGAUACCAGAAAUCAUAGGGAAAAGAACGUGGAAGAUAUGCUAAGUCCUUGUUUUGUCCACGUCCUGCUUAGAAGACAAUGUCCAUCUGUUCUACCCGAGGAAUCUUCUGCAGUCCUGAUGAAUCUUCUGGAGUCCUGGAUCAAAAAUUAAAUAAUAUACUUACGUGUGAAAUGUAUGUUUUGAAAAGUAUGGACCAACUAGGGACACCAUAAAGGGGGGAAAUUGGAGUUGGCAACCUGUAUACAACCAGACCAAACUGGAUUCUUGUAAUGCAAAUAUUCUGGUUAAUUAUUUAUCCUGUGAAUUAGGAAACAUUAAGUUGCCCCACAAUUUCUGUAGCUAUCUGUCUGAGAAUACAAUCCCAAAUUGUAGUUCUUACCAAAAGGUGGCCAAAAAACUUUUCCAGUGGGCCAAAACAGGGCAAAUGUCUUGCAAGUACAGUUUUCAUUUAUCCUGACCAGGUUGACUAUAUCCACAUCAUCCACGGCACACACACAGGUAAUUCAGUGGGAUUAUAUGUUUGAUCUUAAACUUUCUCUUAUUCCUAGAAAGAGAAUCAAGUAUCUCUGUUAGUUUGAUUUGCAUUGUAGUGGGAAUUAAUUUUAGAAAUACCCAGGUUCUUUCUGCCCCAGAGCAGAGGAGGACCUCUCCAUUUUUUUUUUUUUCA